AUACAUGCAAGUCGAGCGAAUGACGAGAAGCUUGCUUCUCUGAUUUAGCGGCGGACGGGUGAGUAACACGUGGGCAACCUGCCCUACAGAUUGGGAUAACUCAGGGAAACCUGGGCUAAUACCGAAUAAUCCUUCGAAUCACAUGUUUUGAAGUUGAAAGGCGCUUCGGCGUCACUGUAGGAUGGGCCCGCGGUGCAUUAGCUAGUUGGUGGGGUAACGGCCUACCAAGGCAACGAUGCAUAGCCGACCUGAGAGGGUGAUCGGCCACAUUGGGACUGAGACACGGCCCAAACUCCUACGGGAGGCAGCAGUAGGGAAUCUUCCACAAUGGACGAAAGUCUGAUGGAGCAACGCCGCGUGAGUGAUGAAGGUUUUCGGAUCGUAAAACUCUGUUGUAAGGGAAGAACAAGUACGUUAGGAAAUGAACGUACCUUGACGGUACCUUAUUAGAAAGCCACGGCUAACUACGUGCCAGCAGCCGCGGUAAUACGUAGGUGGCAAGCGUUGUCCGGAUUUAUUGGGCGUAAAGCGCGCGCAGGUGGUUUCUUAAGUCUGAUGUGAAAGCCCACGGCUCAACCGUGGAGGGUCAUUGGAAACUGGGGAACUUGAGUGCAGAAGAGGAUAGUGGAAUUCCAAGUGUAGCGGUGAAAUGCGUAGAGAUUUGGAGGAACACCAGUGGCGAAGGCGACUGUCUGGUCUGUAACUGACACUGAGGCGCGAAAGCGUGGGGAGCAAACAGGAUUAGAUACCCUGGUAGUCCACGCCGUAAACGAUGAGUGCUAAGUGUUAGGGGGUUUCCGCCCCUUAGUGCUGCAGCUAACGCAUUAAGCACUCCGCCUGGGGAGUACGACCGCAAGGUUGAAACUCAAAGGAAUUGACGGGGGCCCGCACAAGCGGUGGAGCAUGUGGUUUAAUUCGAAGCAACGCGAAGAACCUUACCAGGUCUUGACAUCCCAAUGACCGUCCUAGAGAUAGGAUUUUCCCUUCGGGGACAUUGGUGACAGGUG
rnacentral:rRNA from 1 species